AUGAGGUGGCUGUGGCUCUCAUGGAACGACGGCAACAAGGCAUGGCAGGGGCUGGAUUUGCCUAUCGACCACACGGUCAGAUCCCUGUUCAACGCAUAUGUUCACUUCCAGUUGGGCAAGGGUGACCGCAUUCUCUUUUGGAAGGAGCCGUGGUGUAAGGGCAUCAACCUCCACGACGCCUUCCCAGCACUGUUCCAGCAUUGCACCAGGAAAAACCUCACAGUUGCACAAGCCUUGGAGAACAACAGAUGGAUCCGACACCUCAAAGCCAACCUCUCUGCACAGGCGACGAGGGAGUUCCUGAAACUGUGGGAGGAAAUACAAAAUAUACAGUUAACACAAGAGCCCGAUCGAGUUCAGUGGAAAUGGACAGCAAACGGCAUGUACACGGCGAGAUCGGCUUACAAAAUUCGGUUUGAGGGCUGCACUCGGCCUUCGUGGGCUGCGUUCCUUUGGAAAUCGGAUGCACCGGGCAAAUGCAAGCUUUUUGCAUGGUUGGCUCUGCUUGGACGCUGCAACACGUCCGAUGUCCUUGCGAGGAAAGGCUGGCCUCACAAUCCGUCUUGCUCUCUCUGCAAUGGGCCAAUGGAGGAUGUCGUGCACCUGCUAGCUUCCUGUCCCGUCUCCAUUCGAAUUUGGCACGACAUCAUUGCUCGCUGCAACCUUCAUCCAGGCCUCGCUCCCUCCACCACCACAACUUCCCUGGUGCUUUGGAUCGAGCAGUCCAAUGGCAUCCUUACGGCAUCAGCAAAGAAGCCAUGGAGCGCACUCGUGCAGCUGGUUUGGUGGUCGAUAUGGAACGAACGCAACGCAAGGAUUUUCAGAAACCAACCAUCGCCGCAGACGACGGUGGUGGAACGGAUGAUUGAAGAAGCAGCGGUCUGGCAGAGGGCGGGACGGGGCAAGGCCAUCUCCCUCCUCAACAGACCAAGAGAACCAGACUAG
rnacentral:rRNA from 1 species